rnacentral:rRNA from 1 species
GGAAUUGACGGGGACCCGCACAAGCGGUGGAGCAUGUGGUUUAAUUCGAAGCAACGCGAAGAACCUUACCAAGUCUUGACAUCGGAAUGACCGGUCCGUAACGGGGCCUUCCCUACGGGGCAUUCCAGACAGGUGGUGCAUGGUUGUCGUCAGCUCGUGUCGUGAGAUGUUGGGUUAAGUCCCGCAACGAGCGCAACCCUUAUCCUUAGUAGCCAGCAGUUCGGCUGGGCACUCUGGGGAGACUGCCAGGGAUAACCUGGAGGAAGGUGGGGAUGACGUCAAAUCAUCAUGCCCCUUAUGAUUUGGGCUACACACGUGCUACAAUGGCGUAAACAAAGGGAAGCGAAGGAGUGAUCCGGAGCAAAUCUCAAAAAUAACGUCUCAGUUCGGAUUGUAGUCUGCAACUCGACUACAUGAAGCUGGAAUCGCUAGUAAUCGCGGAUCAGAAUGCCGCGGUGAAUACGUUCCCGGGUCUUGUACACACCGCCCGUCACACCAUGGGAGUUGGUAACGCCCGAAGUCAGUGACCCAACCGUAAGGAGGGAGCUGCCGAAGGCGGGACUGAUAACUGGGGUGAAGUCGUAACAAGGUAGCCGUAUCGGAAGGUGCGGCUGGAUCACCUCCUUUCUG